rnacentral:tRNA from 1 species
GCUGCCACUUGGCUGCCGAAAGGUCUUGAAGACCGUCGUGGCGCGAGCCACCGUGGGUUCAAAUCCCACACCCACCGCCA